rnacentral:tRNA from 1 species
CGCGGAGUGGAGCAGUUGGUAGCUCGUCGGGCUCAUAACCCGAAGGUCGCAGGUUCAAAUCCUGCCCCCGCCACCA